UCCCUGAUGGCUCAGUGGUUAAAGCUCUGCACUUUCAAUGCAGCGGAUGUUGGUUUGAUCCCUGGUUGGGGAU
rfam:Ovis aries breed Texel chromosome 2, whole genome shotgun sequence.